rnacentral:lncRNA from 1 species
AAAUAUUCCUAGACAAGGUCAGACGGAAGUGGAAGGUACUGGAGCUGUUGUUUCUCUGCAUGUGGUGAAGGAGUAUUUUGUGGAUCCAAAGUAGACAGGGCAUAAGCAGAAAAUGCAGGUGACCCCAGCAGCCGCUGAGCCGGCCUGGAUUCGGGCAAAGAAAGCAGCGUCCUCCUGGUGCAAACAGACACAGCCACAAGUGCAGGACACGCAGUCUAGAAAGUCCGGAAGCAGCUAAACAAGAACUGCCCUCAAGAUAAGCAAGAUUAAAACAAUUACAACUCACCCAGCUCACGGACGCUGAGUAACUGACCCCUGUUGCACCAGCCGUAACUACAGCUUUGAUUGGAUGGGAGACUGACUCCAGUAACUUUCUCCUGAUAAGAGACCACCGGCCAUGGACUGGUUCUGGCUGGUUUGCAGAAAGUACAUUCAUCCGCCUUCAUGUCCUGAAAAGACCUUUUGAGGUAUGGGGCCUAAUUUUAAUACAUUUAAAUGUUAAAUCUCCACCCCAAAGUGAACCUGGGUUGUAUGUUACAUGCAUGUUUGUUCAAUAUGCAUGUGUCGGGACUACCUUCAUGAAUAUUCGUAGUUCUUCCUGUAACCUGUUGAAUACGUAUGUUUGGCCACCCUGUCCAGCAUGAAGCUUCUGUCCCAGCCCCUCCUCCUUCGAAGUGCCUGACUCCGGUCUUGGCCAGAGGCACACUUCUGAGCCUGCAGGAUGGCCACCUUGCAGGCUGUAACCCUUUACAAGAAAUAAAAUCUCCUCUCCUCACAAUUUAUAAAUUUGUGAUAUUUUUGGUUAACAUUCCAAAGCAUCGUGCACAGAAUGUGAUAAACCCCUCCCACUGGAGGUUCUUAAACUGCUCCUUAGAAUCUCAGGGGCUGCCGAGGUGCCCCUAGGGCAGCAACCCAUUUUAAGUAGCGCUCCCCACCCCUCCAUCCCAUCCCCAUCUUUUCCACCAUGAUCCCCUCAAACAGGGCGCCUUCACUCUUCUGUUUGAUGUACUGGGUUUCUGCAUUAGACUUUGUUUGAAGAAGGAUUUCUUUGACUAUAAACACUUUGAAACCUCUGCCUUGGAACGCCAAAUGUUAAUGAAGGAAUUGGACUGUGCCUCACACCGUUAAUCACCGACCGGUCCGCUGUGCUGCUUCCGCCAUGUUUGCAGUCGCCUCAACAAAAACUGUUCCGAGCAUCAGCAGUGAGUUUAGGGAGCAAAUGCCUAUAGCACUGUGGUCUAAGAUGUCCAUGUCCAUAGUGAUAAGAAAUGGAGACCCAAUUGUUACAUGGUGCUGUCUACUUUGUUACAGCUGUGUGUGGAAUUAUUUUGGGCUCACCCCUGGAGCUGCCAGUUAACACUGUAAAAUUG